rnacentral:rRNA from 1 species
UACGGAGGGUGCGAGCGUUGUCCGGAAUCACUGGGCGUAAAGGGCGCGUAGGCGGCCGUUCAAGCGUGGGGUGAAAGUCCGGGGCUCAACCCCGGAUCGGCCUUGCGGACUGAGCGGCUGGAGCACUGUAGAGGCGGGUGGAAUUCCGGGUGUAGCGGUGGAAUGCGUAGAGAUCCGGAAGAACACCGGUGGCGAAGGCGGCCCGCUGGGCAGUGGCUGACGCUGAGGCGCGACAGCGUGGGGAGCAAACAGG